UGGGGAAUCUUCCGCAAUGGGCGCAAGCCUGACGGAGCAACGCCGCGUGAGUGAAGAAGGGUUUCGACUCGUAAAGCUCUGUUGUUGGGGACGAAUGUGAGGACGGCGAAUAGCCGUUUUCAAUGACGGUACCUGACUAAGAAGCCCCGGCUAACUACGUGCCAGCAGCCGCGGUAAUACGUAGGGGGCAAGCGUUAUCCGGAUUUACUGGGUGUAAAGGGAGCGUAGACGGCUGGAUCAGUCUGAUGUGAAAGCCCGGGGCUCAACCCCGGGACUGCAUUGGAAACUGUCCAGCUAGAGUGCAGGAGAGGUAAGUGGAAUUCCUAGUGUAGCGGUGAAAUGCGUAGAUAUUAGGAGGAACACCAGUGGCGAAGGCGGCUUACUGGACUGUAACUGACGUUGAGGCUCGAAAGCGUGGGGAGCAAACAGGAUUAGAUACCCUGGUAGU
rnacentral:rRNA from 1 species